UGUUUUGUUUUAUGUUUUUCCCCUUUACUCAUAUGAUUUUUGUAUUGACAAUGAGUAUACUUUUUGUUUGCAGGAAUGGAUCGUGGCUUUCUGGUUGAUAUGACGGACCCGUAUAAAUCUGAGUUGGAAUUGCCUAUGUGAUAUCAUAUUCUUAUUAUUCAAGGAAAAGGUAACUCGCAAAAAUUCAGCAAUAAACCAACUGUGAACAAUUGACCCAUAAGUGUCAUUCCUACGGACAAGACGAAGUAAUUAGUAAGAUUGGA
rnacentral:lncRNA from 1 species